GCACUGCCUUGGAACCUCUGCAGUGCCGGGCCCAUGGCCUCCGGGGUCUGGUGGCAGUGCCAGAACAAACCCAGCUUGUUCAGAUCCCGGGCUGCUUGGAUGCCCCCUAAGCGAUUCCUUUGGCAUCAAGUGACAUUU